GAUGAACGCUGGCGGCGUGCUUAACACAUGCAAGUCGAACGGGAUCCAAGGGGUGCUUGCACUUUUUGGUGAGAGUGGCGAACGGGUGAGUAACACGUGAGUAACCUGUCCUUUUCUUUGGGAUAAGCAUUCGAAAGGGUGUUUAAUACCUUAUGUUCUGUCUGCCUCGCAUGGGGUGGGUGGGAAAGGCUUUGGCCGGAUUUGGGUGGGCUCGCGGUCUAUCAGCUUGUUGGUGGGGUGAUGGCUUACCAAGGCUUUGACGGGUAGCCGGCCUGAGAGGGUGGUCGGUCACAUUGGGACUGAGAUACGGCCCAGACUCCUGCGGGAGGCAGCAGUGGGGGAUAUUGCACAAUGGGCGAAAGCCUGAUGCAGCGACGCCGCGUGGGGGAUGAAGGCCUGCGGGUUGUAAACUUCUUUUGCUCUGAACAAGGCAUGCCAGUGGGUGUGUUGAGUGUAGGGGUUGAUUAGCGCCGGCUAACUACGUG
rnacentral:rRNA from 1 species